rnacentral:ncRNA from 2 species
UUGACAUUUUAUCAAUAAGAUGGUAAAAUUUAAUCAUAUUGGGAUUACGGGAACCGAGUGAGAAUCUCGGACGGUCACGCCACUGUAUAUGAAGUCAGGAACCUAGUCUCAAAUAACGCACAGUU